GUCUAUGGCCAUGCUACCCUGAACAAACCCGAUCCUGUCUGAUCUCGGAAACUAAGCAAGGUCGAGCCUGGUUAGAACUUGGAUGGAAGGCCACCUAGGAAGACCAGGUACUGUAGGUG
rnacentral:rRNA from 1 species